rnacentral:tRNA from 6 species
GCUGGUGUAGCACAGUGGUAGUGCAGCUGAUUCGUAAUCAGCAGGUCGGGGGUUCGAGUCCCUUCACCAGCACCA